ACGAACGCUGGCGGCGUGCCUAAUACAUGCAAGUAGAACGCUGAAGAGAGGAGCUUGCUCUUCUUGGAUGAGUUGCGAACGGGUGAGUAACGCGUAGGUAACCUGCCUUGUAGCGGGGGAUAACUAUUGGAAACGAUAGCUAAUACCGCAUAACAAUGGAUGACACAUGUCAUUUAUUUGAAAGGGGCAAUUGCUCCACUACAAGAUGGACCUGCGUUGUAUUAGCUAGUAGGUGAGGUAACGGCUCACCUAGGCGACGAUACAUAGCCGACCUGAGAGGGUGAUCGGCCACACUGGGACUGAGACACGGCCCAGACUCCUACGGGAGGCAGCAGUAGGGAAUCUUCGGCAAUGGGGGCAACCCUGACCGAGCAACGCCGCGUGAGUGAAGAAGGUUUUCGGAUCGUAAAGCUCUGUUGUAAGUCAAGAACGAGUGUGAGAGUGGAAAGUUCACAAUGUGACGGUAGCUUACCAGAAAGGGACGGCUAACUACGUGCCAGCAGCCGCGGUAAUACGUAGGUCCCGAGCGUUGUCCGGAUUUAUUGGGCGUAAAGCGAGCGCAGGCGGUUUGAUAAGUCUGAAGUUAAAGGCUGUGGCUCAACCAUAGUUCGCUUUGGAAACUGUCAAACUUGAGUGCAGAAGGGGAGAGUGGAAUUCCAUGUGUAGCGGUGAAAUGCGUAGAUAUAUGGAGGAACACCGGUGGCGAAAGCGGCUCUCUGGUCUGUAACUGACGCUGAGGCUCGAAAGCGUGGGGAGCGAACAGGAUUAGAUACCCUGGUAGUCCACGCCGUAAACGAUGUCGACUUGGAGGUUGUGCCCUUGAGGCGUGGCUUCCGGAGCUAACGCGUUAAGUCGACCGCCUGGCGAGUACGGCCGCAAGGUUAAAACUCAAAUGAAUUGACGGGGGCCCGCACAAGCGGUGGAGCAUGUGGUUUAAUUCGAAGCAACGCGAAGAACCUUACCAGGUCUUGACAUCCCGAUGCUAUUUCUAGAGAUAGAAAGUUACUUCGGUACAUCGGUGACAGGUGGUGCAUGGUUGUCGUCAGCUCGUGUCGUGAGAUGUUGGGUUAAGUCCCGCAACGAGCGCAACCCCUAUUGUUAGUUGCCAUCAUUCAGUUGGGCACUCUAGCGAGACUGCCGGUAAUAAACCGGAGGAAGGUGGGGAUGACGUCAAAUCAUCAUGCCCCUUAUGACCUGGGCUACACACGUGCUACAAUGGUUGGUACAACGAGUUGCGAGUCGGUGACGGCAAGCUAAUCUCUUAAAGCCAAUCUCAGUUCGGAUUGUAGGCUGCAACUCGCCUACAUGAAGUCGGAAUCGCUAGUAAUCGCGGAUCAGCACGCCGCGGUGAAUACGUUCCCGGGCCUUGUACACACCGCCCGUCACACCACGAGAGUUUGUAACACCCGAAGUCGGUGAGGUAACCUUUUGGAGCCAGCCGCCUAAGGUGGGAUAGAUGAUUGGGGUG
rnacentral:rRNA from 1 species